UGGCGGCAAUGGGGGGGCUCGGCUGACACGGCGCUGCCCGUUCCCCGGCCCCGGGCGCUCUCCGCCGCUGCCCCCUCCUCGGCGAGGGACUGCGGGCCGCUCUCGCCGCACGGAGACGGAGCAGGGACGCGGGAGAGGAGGCGUGGGGUCCCAGGAAACACCCUGAAGCAUGGUCCGGUGCCAGAGUCCAACCCUGGGAGUCCACACUCCCAGAGAACCUUUGCCUGCCACAGUUAGUCUACAAGCAACAUCAAACGAUCUGAAAUAGAAAAACAGCCAUAAUCACGUUUCCAGCCAACAUGCUGCUGACCCAUGAUACAGGAAAAAUGCAGAGGAUUAGGAACGCUUUCCCUGGUUUCUCAGGCAACAGCAAGACAUAGGAAUAUGAAAAGGUAUUACCAUCCUUAGUACAGAAUCUCGCUAGAGUUCUCAGAUGUGUUUAUAAUUUUCUAUGUUUUUCCUCUUUCCCAUUGUCACAUACUUAAAACAUGAACAUUAUUAGUUUAGUCUGCUACCUAGAAUGUGAAAAUGGUAAAUAUCAAAACAGAUAAUAUGUCUUUUUCCUACAGGAUAAAAUAAGUAAUUUGCUAAGUGGCUAUGGAAAUUUUCAGAAUUAUGCACUGAAAGGUUUCUAGGUGGUAUCCAAAACACAGCUACUAUUAUCUCUCUUUAAAAAUCCCCUGAUUCUGUGGCAUCUCUUAAGAAAAUGAAAUAAUUAUUCCUUCAUCUGCUUUUUCUUUCCCAUUUACAUGUACACCUAAUAAAUAGGCCCCAUAAAGUUGCAACUUCACAGACUAAUUAACUGUCAAACUUACAGAGAAAGAUUGUUUCUGAAGGCUUUAUUUUCCAAAUUAAAAAAUGAUGUUUGGAAGUCAGAAAUUAAUGUAAGAAUAGCGAGUAAAUAGUACUCCAGGUUUGACAUCUGUAAGUUAUCUGAGACAGGCACAAAAAUGCCAUAAAUAUAUCUGUGUAAAUUUAUAUAAUAGAAAAUUAAUACAAACAGCAAAUAUAUUGUUGGCUGGUCUGAUUUAUGGAAUUUUGGACCACUUAAUGGCUGAGGGAUUUUUAUCACUUGGUUUUGUGUUUUUAAGAAUGUAAAUUAUACUUGUAAUUAAAGGAAUGUCCAUGAA